AUGCUCAUUUUGACGGCACAUAUAUUAAAGUCAGAAUAAUACAAAGAAGAUUAGCAUGGCCCCGCACAAGGAUGACAUGGAAAUUCGUGAAGAGUUAUUUAAAAAA